UUAGCCGGUGCUUCUUCUGNGGUACCGUCACUUGCGCUUCGUCCCUGCUGAAAGAGGUUUACAACCCGAAGGCCGUCAUCCCUCACGCGGCGUCGCUGCAUCAGGCUUUCGCCCAUUGUGCAAUAUUCCCCACUGCUGCCUCCCGUAGGA
rnacentral:rRNA from 1 species